CUCGGGAUUGUACACACCGCCCGUCAAGUCACGGAAGUCGGCAACGCCCAAAGUCAGUGGCCUAACCCAUUCGGGAGGGAGCUGCCUAAGGCGGGGUCGGUAACUGGGACU
rnacentral:rRNA from 1 species